GAUGAACGCUGGCGGCGUGCCUAAUACAUGCAAGUCGAGCGAACGGACGAGAAGCUUGCUUCUCUGAUGUUAGCGGCGGACGGGUGAGUAACACGUGGAUAACCUACCUAUAAGACUGGGAUAACUUCGGGAAACCGGAGCUAAUACCGGAUGAUAUUUUGAACCGCAUGGUUCAAAAGUGAAAGACGGUCUUGCUGUCACUUAUAGAUGGAUCCGCGCUGCAUUAGCUAGUUGGUAAGGUAACGGCUUACCAAGGCAACGAUGCAUAGACGACCUGAGAGGGUGAUCGGCCACACUGGAACUGAGACACGGUCCAGACUCCUACGGGAGGCAGCAGUAGGGAAUCUUCCGCAAUGGGCGAAAGCCUGACGGAGCAACGCCGCGUGAGUGAUGAAGGUCUUCGGACCGUAAAACUCUGUUAUUAGGGAAGAACAUAUGUGUAAGUAACUGUGCACAUCUUGACGGUACCUAAUCAGAAAGCCACGGCUAACUACGUG
rnacentral:rRNA from 1 species